AUACGUAGGGGGCAAGCGUUAUCCGGAUUUACUGGGUGUAAAGGGAGUGUAGGUGGUCUGGCAAGUCAGAUGUGAAAGCCCGCGGCUCAACUGCGGGACUGCAUUUGAAACUGUCAGACUGGAGUGCAGGAGAGGAAAGUGGAAUUCCUAGUGUAGCGGUGAAAUGCGUAGAUAUUAGGAAGAACACCAGUGGCGAAGGCGGCUUUCUGGACAGUAACGGACACUGAGGCUCGAAAGCGUGGGGAGCAAACAGGAAUAGAUACCCUGGUAGUCCACGCCGUAAACGAUGAUGGCUAACCGCUGGAUCCAUCGGUUCAGUGGCCAAGCGAAAGCGAUAAGCCAUCCACCUGGGGAGUACGACCGCAAGGUUGAAACUCAAAUGAAUUGGCGGGG
rnacentral:rRNA from 1 species